rnacentral:rRNA from 1 species
UACGUAGGGGGCAAGCGUUGUCCGGAAUCAUUGGGCGUAAAGAGCGUGUAGGCGGCUCGAUAAGUCUGCUGUGAAAGUCCAGGGCUCAACCCUGGAAGGCCGGUGGAAACUGUCGGGCUAGAGUCCGGAAGAGGCGAGUGGAAUUCCCGGUGUAGCGGUGAAAUGCGCAGAUAUCGGGAGGAACACCUAUUGCGAAGGCAGCUCGCUGGGACGUUACUGACGCUGAGACGCGAAAGCGUGGGGAGCAAACAGG